GUCCUUUUGAGAUUUAUUUAAGGUUUAACCUGCCCACUGAUUUAUUGAAGGGCCGCAGUAUUUUGACUGUGCAAAGGUAGCAUAAUCAUUAGUUUUUUAAUUAAAAGCUUGUAUGAAGGGUUGGACGAGGUAAAUUCUGUCUCUGAAUAAUUAAUUUUAGAAUUUAAUUUUUGAGUUAAAAAGCUUAAAUUAAUUUAAAAGACGAGAAGACCCUAUAGAUCUUUAUAAUAAAUUUAUUAGUUAUAUAUAGGAUUAUUUAAUUAGUUAAUAGAUUUAUUAUUUUAUUGGGGUAAUAAAAAGAUUUAAAUAAUUCUUUUUUUAUUAUAACAUUAAUAAAUGAAUUUAUGAUCCAAUAUUAUUGAUUAUAAGAUUAAGUUACCUUAGGGAUAACAGCGUAAUUUUUUUAGAGAGUUCUUAUCGAUAAAAAAGUUUGCGACCUCGAUGUUGGAUUAAAAAUUAUUUUAGGUGUAGAAGCUUGAAAUUUUGGUCUGUUCGACCAUUAAAUUUUU
rnacentral:rRNA from 1 species